rnacentral:misc_RNA from 1 species
GAUGAAGAACGUAGCGAAAUGCGAUAAGUAAUGUGAAUUGCAGAAUUCAGUGAAUUAUCGAAUCUUUGAACGCACAUUGCGCCCGCCAGUAUUCUGGCGGGCAUGCCUGUUCGAGCGUCAUUACAACCCUCAGGCCCCCGGGCCUGGCGUUGGGGAUCGGCGGAGCCCCCCGUGGGCACACGCCGUCCCCCAAAUGCAGUGGCGGUCCCGCCGCAGCUUCCAUCGCGUAGUAGCUAACACCUCGCGACUGGAGAGCGGCGCGGCCACGCCGUAAAACACCCAACUCUUCUGAAGUUGACCUCGAAUCAGGUAGGAAUACCCGCUGAACUUAAGCAUAUCAAUAAGCGGAGGA